rnacentral:miRNA from 1 species
AACUGCCCACAUUCUUGUCCC